rnacentral:tRNA from 1 species
GGAGAGCUGGCAGAGUGGUCAAUUGCAUCGGUCUUGAAAACCGCGCCUUUCGGGGCCCGUGGGUUCGAAUCCCUCGCUCUC